UUAACAUGAUGGACUCCAGGACGGGGCUGCUGCUGCUGCUGACUCUCUGCUGGGCAGGUGCUGAUGCUCAGACUCUGACAGAAUCUGAACCAGCAGUGAAAAGACCUGGAGAAUCCCACAGACUGACCUGUACGACCUCAGGCUUCACACUGAGCAGCUAUGCUAUGGACUGGGUCAGACAGGCUCCUGGAAAAGGCCUGGAGUGGAUCGCUCUUAUAGGAACAUACAGCUCUCCUAUCUAUUACUCCCAGUCAGUCCAGGGCCGAUUCACCAUCUCCAGAGACGACUCCAACAAUAAAGUCUAUCUGCAGAUGAACAGUCUGAAGACUGAGGACACAGCAGUUUAUUACUGUGCCCGACACACAGUGAGACACAGUAACCGGAGAGUCGUACAAAAACCACUUCCUCAACUUGGAACCACUGGUAACAAAACUAGUCACACUUUAAAUAAUGCUGGUUAAUUAAAUGGUCAUUGAGUGUUAAUCUUAGAAAGAAAUAAACUGAGUCCAAAACCUGAUUUUAUAUUAAUUUACUGA